rnacentral:rRNA from 1 species
GGGCCCGCACAAGCAGUGGAGUAUGUGGUUUAAUUCGAAGCAACGCGAAGAACCUUACCAGGGUUUGACAUCCCUUGACGGCUGUAGAGAUACAGAAUCCCUUCGGGGCAAGGAGACAGGUGGUGCAUGGUUGUCGUCAGCUCGUGUCGUGAGAUGUUGGGUUAAGUCCCGCAACGAGCGCAACCCUUGUUGUUAGUUGCCAGCACGUAAAGGUGGGCACUCUAGCGAAACUGCCGGCGACAAGUCGGAGGAAGGUGGGGACGACGUCAAAUCAUCAUGCCCCUUAUAUCCUGGGCUACACACGUACUACAAUGGCUGUAACAGAGGGAAGCGAAGGAGCAAUCCGGAGCAAAUCCCCAAAAGCAGCCUCAGUUCAGAUUGUGGGCUGCAACCCGCCCACAUGAAGUCGGAAUUGCUAGUAAUGGCAGGUCAGCAUACUGCCGUGAAUACGUUCCCGGGCCUU